rnacentral:lncRNA from 1 species
GUGUGUUUCUGGUCGACAUUUUCACCAGACAAGAAAAGAUUCUUCUCUUGAACCCUAAAUUACAAAGAAAUGCUCAAAUCGAAGGGGAAAUCAAGCUAAAAAUUGGGGAUUUUAUUAAAUUCGUGAUCACCAAGUCAUGAGGAUCACAAGUUUGACUCUUGACGAGCUAGGUGAAGCUUGGAGGAGAUGAUCAAACGGGAUAAAGACACAAGUAAGAUUUGCUUGGAUGAAAGGUAAGUAAAGCUUACACCUAUUUUUUUAGCAUACGUAUUUAUUCUAUAGGUGAUAAAUACAACAAUAGAUCAUGUUCGAAUUAUGGGUUCCGACACGAAACGAAAUGGGUUGGAACGAAUAAAAAUGUUUAAAAUCAUGAUUAAUGGUGAAAGAGGUAAAAUGGUAAUUUAGUCAUAAAUCGACUAAGAAUUUAUGAGUUUUCUUAAAGUUACCUCAUAGCUUAACUAAUAAUGGAAAAAGGGGUAAAAUGGUAAUUUAGUCACGUGAUGACUUAUUGUAAUCGAGAUUAAAAGGAUAUCCACGGCGUAAGCCGAACUGGGUCAAAUAUGUAAGAAAAAAAGGAAAUUUUUGUGGUAAAAUCCGUAAUGGGUCGGAUGCGUGAUUGAGUAAUUAGAAACCAUGAUUUGUAAUAAAUAUAAUUGUUUGGUCGUAUAGACCAAAUGGGUCAAAUGAUGGUGAUAACAUCAUAUGACCAUAUCGACUAAUGUUGGUUGUUAAGUCAUAUGUUUACAGGAACGAAUAGCAAUUUGGAUAAUUGUGUCGUCAUAGAAUAUUGAAUUAAUAAUAGCAAGGGAUAAACGGGUCUAUACGUUGACUCGAGCCAGGUACGCUUAUAUAUAGAUUUAUAGUUAAAAGUGUUUAACUUCCCUUAACGGGUCAAAAUGAGUAGAUAGGUAAAACGGGUUAAGAAUUCAUAAGAAACCCGUAAUUUGAACCUUGCAUAUUAAUAAAUUGAUAUAACGUGAUAUGCAUGAUAUUUUGAAAAGGUAAUAAACAAGUUUGUUUGAUAAAUCACGAACGGGUCAAAAAGUGUCAUAAUUGAAUUUCAAGCCGAGAGCUUGAAAGUUAAAAUUUUGUGAAUUUAGAUGUCGGGUUUUCACUCCGUAAGAUGGAGAAUUAAAUUACGAACGCAUAGGAAAAAGAAUCGCGAAGAACGGACUUGUAGAAUGAAAGUUAUGCCAAUUUAAAGUUCGAAAUUUGUUAAAAUUGGAGCUGGACAGAAAAUGCAGGUUCAGAUAUAAACAUGCUGGAAACUGGUCUCCCCCGCGGCACGCGAAGGGGAAAUAAGGUCCGGGCGCGACACGCGAUAGGCGUCGCGGCACACGACACAUCUACUUGAGUCUCUUGCGACCCGCGAGAGACAUAAAGGCUGGAAAAAUUAUUUUUGGUUAAUUGCUUGUUGCGUAGAACUUGUUUAAACUUAUAUUUAAGUUAUCAAAACUACCUUUUAGGUUGGUUUUGAUCAUAGGUGAAUAUCGAAAGUACCCGGAUGAAGAUCAAGCGAUGAGAAAGAACCGAACACAUGAAGAAGAAGCUUCCACACGUUGUUUCGUCGAAAUUUUUUAAACGACAAACUAAACUACAUUAUGUUGUUCUAAAUUUUAAAUUGUAAAAGUUUUAAUAAACCCGUGCUUUGUAAUGUAUAUGUGCUCUUAAUCACAUGUUUAUUAUCGUAAAUUAUACGAAAAUCGUUAAAUAAUAUUAAGGGUGUUACAAGUUGGUAAUCAGAGCUCAUGGUUAAAGAGUAAAGUGUGUUCGGUUCGAAGCUUGAUCGCAAAUCCGGUAAGUACAUUUAUGUUAAUGGUUUAGUAUGAUUAAAGUGUUGCGAACAACACAUAGGGUUAUCGUGUAAUACUGGUUACCCCAAUGAAAAUGAUGGUAUAGUUAACGAAAUCACGUGCAUUGACACGUAUAGUAAAAAGCCUUGUAUAACAAUACGGGUGUUUAUUAAUGUCGAAAUUACUAACUCUUGUAAAUAUUUAGUUGAAGGAUACUCGCAUCUGAAGAUGGCGAGAGUGUAACAAGUGACGGACAUGACAGAGGAACGGUCCGAAGUACGACAAGUAGAGUAUGCUCAUCAAGGACCUAAAUCGCGUGAUGACCGCGAACAAGGUUAAUGACAUGGAAAGCCCAUUAGGGCAAGCAUUACUAGGCGCACACUUUUAAAUUAAAUCGCACAAAUAGUAAUAUGCAACAAACAUGUAGAGAAUGACGGUUGCAUACGUAGGAUAAAACUUGGGAAACCUGAAUAGGAUAUCUAUUCAGGAUGAUGUUUCUAAGUGAAAACAAAUAGAAACAUGUGUUAUUCACCAUUGUGAAUAACAAGACAAUAAUAGAAAUAGUUUAUGUGAAAACUUGGACGGGAAUAAAUAUCCAAGUGAAUUAUUCUCAAUAUAAUACUAUUGAAAAAAGUAGCGAUCACAUUAACGAAUUUGAUGAUAUAAUAGCUAGGUAAAAAGGAAAACAUUUUAUAUGUUCAAAGAAUAAAACGGGUAAAACUAAUAAUUGAUAAAUAACAAUUAAAUAAAGUUUUACCAACUGAAACCAAAGAUAUGGAAAUAAACAGAGACGUUACUUACAUAGGGUGUAAUGUGAAAAUUAUAAAAAGGUCAUGUGUGUCAUGUGUUUAUCGCUUACUCUGGCCAAGUAAGUAGUGAACACAUGAUGUCAUGAACUUUUUAUGAUGGACACAUUUACGUCCGAUGUAGUAAGGACGGGGUGAAUGGGACGAAUUAAAAAAAAGGUACCCAAAUGAAUCAAACAAGUAAGAUGUUUGAUAGUAAACGUAAACGCAAGUCGGAGGACGGAAGCGUAUUACGUUAGGACAACGAGCCGAGAGAAGGGACAAAGAUCAAGGUAAAUGAAAAUACAAACCGACUGAUAGGAAUGCUAAGGUA